UUAAAAGGGUAAUAAUGAUGAAUUGGUUUAUAUUUUUUCACUCAGAAAAUAAUCAUUAUUCUUUGAUCGAAAAAAUAUAUAUCAGGAAUAAGCAUUAUUUAUGAUUUUUAUUUUUUUUCGCUCACUUGAUUCAAGAUUGUGGGCUAUUUGAAAACUUUUCUGGAUAUUUGAAUGCAUAUACAUAUUAUUAGAUCAAAAACACAGGUACAUAUUAAUACUGUGAGUCUUCCUCUAUUACUCCUCCGUAUAAUGAAAUAACCUUCAGGCUCCUUUGAACCAAAGUCUAGAACACAUAUAGGUUCCAUCAUCCACAGUUUCAGCGGUACACAAAAAAGUAUUUUGAAAAUGUUUUGAGCCAAACAGCUAAUCGACCGAUUUUUAGAGGACAUUUAUAUAUAUUCUGUUUCCCACAUAGGCUUUCAGUAUUUUUGAGCGCACAGAUCUCAGAAACGUAGUCGUAUUCAAAGAACGUGUAAAAGUUCCGACUAAAUGUACCUGGAUUCUGCAAGGGACUGAUCGGGUUCAUCAUGCGCUUGCUGUGAUCAGGCUAGAGUUGAUGUGAGAUACUUGAAGUCCUGGGUUGGUUGUCCUCAAGUACAGAUAGUACGGGGUUUCGGCGGAUUCCGUAUCGGCCGAUCCUACUUAUGGGCCGUUUCACGGGAGCAACUUUCGAAGUAGGUUGGAUAACGCGGUUCCUACUUGUGGUCCGUUUUACGGAAGCAACACUCGAAGUAGAUUAGAUACCGAAGGCUACUUGUGGUCCGUUUUACACAGGAGCCACUCGAAGUGGGUUUGAUGACGAAAGUUCUACUUGUUGUCAGUUUACACAGGAGCCACUCGAAGUAGAUAGUUUUAAGAAAGUCCUACUUGUGGUCCGUUUUACACAGGAGCAACUCUCGAAGUAGGUUUGUUUUAAGAGAGUCUUACUUGUGGUCCGUUUUAGGCAGGAUCACUCGAAGUAGGUUGGUUUUAAGUGCCAUACCUUGACACUGAGUAACGAACCGAUCUACUCUGUAUUCGCAACUAUCUUUAUUUUAGAAGAACAAUUCUUUUACAGAUUCUAAAUUAUACAUAAUUAUACAAAGGUCAAUGUUAUGAACGUGUUGGAACGACACUGGCAUUACCCACCUCUGAGUCUGCUCAGUCAGAUUGCUGGUCAUGCAUGGCAUGUUCAUGCAUUUCGGCUUAGCUAGCUGGCUUUGCUUGCUUCGGUCAGUCGGUCAAUCUUCCCGCUUAUACUGCUGAUUACCGCUUCUGGCGCCGCUUCGCUCCCGGAAUUAACGUUUAUUACCCUUGUCAAAAACAUAUCUUGAGCCAUCCCACGACAUUUAUGGCAAUUACUUUUUUUGUCAAAAUGUAGACGGCCGCACUUUCACUGGCUUCUCCCCUCAUGGGGAGAGAAAAAAUAUAUAGAAGUUUCACCUGGUAAAUUGUUUAUUUUUCUAAAUAAAUUGGUAGUCAUAGUUAAAAAAUGUGUACCAAAAGACUCCGACCAAAGUUGAUAUUCUUUACUAAUUUUUUAUAUUUCUUUUUUAGAAACCCCCAGAAAAGCCAGCAAUGAAGAGGACAUAAAUGUGCAUAGAUCAGAUCAACAUGUUAUACAAAAAAGAAAGUAGAAGAAAGUCACCAUCCGCAGUUUAAUGCACCAAAUUUAAGUCGCUAUCAUUUUGUAAGUAGCCAAGAGGUUGCGAACAAAGCUCAAGGUUCUAUUCAAAGUUCAAAGAAUACUUCUGAACUAGUCAACAUAAAAGGCGGUGAUGAAUCAUCUAUGGUUUGGAAAGUUAAACGACGACCAGAUGGAUCUCGGUACAUUGUGAAACGACCGGUGCGUAAUCGCACAAUUCAAAAAAAUAUUCGGGGAAAUGAGCUACCUACUGAAGAGGAAACAAUAUCAGAAGAGAAAAUUGGUCGUUGUUGGACAAAGGAUGAACGGAAAAGGCAUAUAGAACGGGCACGAGAGCGGCGACAUCAUAAAACAUAGCUGCACGAAAAACAAUAAAUGUUUUUUCCUAUAUAUCCUAAGUAAUACAUUACAUAGCUUUACUUAGAAUUAAAUAUGUAGCAUUCAUA